UUUUGUGUGUGAAGUUGUGCAUGUUGGUGGUGAUGACAGUUGCUCUUAUCUUCAUCCAGAAGACUGGGGUUGAGUGUGUCACACUGGGUGGAUCCUGGCUGCUCAGCAUGAUAAUGGUAACACUGAGACAGAUGUUCCAGCUGUAGCAGCUGCCAGACGGGGAUGUGCUGCACCUUAUGGGAAUUCACAGUGCUUCUGAAGGGAGAAUAGAAUGGAGCCAUAGCUAGGAUAUGUGUUUGCCUUAUGCACUUGAUGCACUGAAGUAGGAUAACCAGGAAUUUAUAGCACAUUGUUUGAAAAUGUAAAAAAAAUACUACCCUGGUAUACAAAAAAUAAACAGGAAAUGACACAAUCA